GAUGAACGCUGGCGGCGUGCCUAAUACAUGCAAGUCGAGCGAACAGACGAGGAGCUUGCUCCUCUGACGUUAGCGGCGGACGGGUGAGUAACACGUGGAUAACCUACCUAUAAGACUGGGAUAACUUCGGGAAACCGGAGCUAAUACCGGAUAAUAUAUUGAACCGCAUGGUUCAAUAGUGAAAGACGGUUUUGCUGUCACUUAUAGAUGGAUCCGCGCCGCAUUAGCUAGUUGGUAAGGUAACGGCUUACCAAGGCAACGAUGCGUAGCCGACCUGAGAGGGUGGUCGGCCACACUGGAACUGAGACACGGUCCAGACUCCUACGGGAGGCCGCAGUAGGGAAUCUUCCGGGAUGGGCGAAAGCCUGACGGUGCAACGCCGCGUGAGUGAUGAAGGUCUUCGGAUCGUAGAGCUCUGUUAUUAGGGAAGAACAAAUGUGUAAGUACCUAUGCAGGUCUUGACGGUACCUGAUCAGAAAGCCACGGCUAACUACGUG
rnacentral:rRNA from 1 species